GAAAUGGUUAAGGAAAGCUGAUCCAGGCAAUCUGUGCUUCCUACUGGGUACUCUAAGUCCCUGAGAGGAGAAGAAACUGACUCAAGGGCCCACAACAAGAUGUCAGGCUUAGAAAAUAAGAGAUGGGCCAAGAAGCUACCAGAGGUGCACCUCAUUGUCCUGGAAGUUCAAGCAUGGUUGGGACCUUCUGGUCUCUUCUACAAGCUGGAGGGGAAGGCUCUAGCAGGAAUCCACAUGGGAAGAAGGAAGCCUGCCUGAGAGUGGGGCUGUGACCACAAUGGAGGGGGGAGUUCCAAAGAUGGCACCAGACUUCUACCUCAGCAACAAACGAGUAGACCCUCUUCCACAAUAAUGAUUCCUAGGGUAAUUUUCUUUUUUAAUAGUGACUUUUAAUACUGACUCCUCUGCUAAUUUUCCCUCCUCUCUACCAAAAGGCCCAGAGUUCAGUACAAGAAGCGCUGUACUCCCCAGGACUAAGGCAGCUCCCUCGGUGCAGAGAGGCCACUGCAGCAUGGUUCACCUGCCAUUUCUGUUGUUGUCUUUGGUUCAGACCAGUGGUUCCUUGCAUCACACUUCCACUGAGGAGUAUGUGGCAUGCAGUUCAGUGAUUGCCUGGGACAGGGUACCUGGUGCUCAGACUGCUCACAUGCCACCUGGACCUGGAUGAACAAAGAAUUAUAAACGAAAGUGUCUUC